rnacentral:rRNA from 1 species
AUUGAACGCUGGCGGCAGGCCUAACACAUGCAAGUCGAGCGAGUGGCGGACGGGGGAGUAAUGUAUGGGAAACUGCCUGAUGGAGGGGGAUAACUACUGGAAACGGUAGCUACUACCGCAUACCAUCGGAUGUCCCCAGAUGGGAUUAGCUAGUAGGUGGGGUAACGGCUCACCUAGGCGACGAUCCCUAGCUGGUCUGAGAGGAUGACCAGCCACAAUGGGACUGAGACACGGUCCAGACUCCUACGGGCGGCAGCAGUGGGGAAUAUUGCACAAUGGGCGCAAGCCUGAUGCAGCCAUGCCGCGUGUAUGAAGAAGGCCUUCGGGUUGUAAAGUACUUUCAGCGGGGAGGCGUUACCUGCAGAAGAAGCACCGGCUAACUCCGUGCCAGCAGCCGCGGUAAUAC